rnacentral:ncRNA from 23 species
ACCUGUUCUCAGGGCGGGGUGAAAAUCCCCACCGGCGGUAUACCGGCUGUUAAUCCGGAAAGCCCGCGAGCGCUUUCGAUUAUUUCGAAAGGUCAGCAGAUUUGGUGAAACUCCAAAGCCGACGGUUAUAGUCCGGAUGAAAGAGGAUAGCG